rnacentral:tRNA from 1 species
GCCGUUGUGGUGUAAUUGGAAACAUACUCGACGCGUAUUCGAGAGGUUCAGGGUUCGAAUCCCGGCAAGGGCA